rnacentral:rRNA from 1 species
GACGAACGCUGGCGGCGUGCCUAAUACAUGCAAGUAGAACGCAGUUGCGAACGGGUGAGUAACGCGUAGGUAACUGCCUCAUAGCGGGGGAUAACUAUUGGAAACGAUAGCUAAUACCGCAUACUGUGAGAUGGACCUGCGUUGUAUUAGCUUGUUGGUGAGGUAAAGGAUCACCAAGGCGACGAUACAUAGCCGACCUGAGAGGGGGAUCGGCCACACGGGGACGGAGACACGGCCCAGACUCCUACGGGAGGCAGCAGUGGGGAAGAUUGCACAAUGGGCGGAAGACUGAUGCAGCCAUGCCGCGUGUAUGAAGAAGGCCUUCGGGUUGUAAAGUACUUUCAGCGGGGAGGCGUUACCCGCAGAAGAAGCACCGGCUAACUCCGUGCCAGCAGCCGCGGUAAUUC